CAGUCGCCGCGGUAAUACGAAGGGUGCAAGCGUUAAUCGGAAUUACUGGGCGUAAAGCGUGCGUAGGCGGUGAGUUAAGUCUGCUGUGAAAUCCCCGGGCUCAACCUGGGAAUGGCAGUGGAUACUGGCUCGCUAGAGUGUGUCAGAGGAUGGUGGAAUUCCCGGUGUAGCGGUGAAAUGCGUAGAGAUCGGGAGGAACAUCAGUGGCGAAGGCGGCCAUCUGGGACAACACUGACGCUGAAGCACGAAAGCGUGGGGAGCAAACAGGAUUAGAUACCCGGGUAGUCCCUGUCUCUUAUAC
rnacentral:rRNA from 1 species